UAGAGCAUGUAAAGGGAUUUCC
rnacentral:miRNA from 1 species